CAGCGCUCUGGACUGUGCUCUUUAAGAUGGCUCUUUGGAAAGGAACAAUCAUCUGGGAACCAGAGCAAAGUGCAGAUGCGGAGGGUGUGUGCAGGAUGGAGAAUCAUCCCAGAUACUGCCACCCAGGAGCACUGCUACACCUGCAUUGGUUGAGCAUCAGAUGCAUGGACCCGACUCUCUUUCACAGUGUGGUCAUCGUUUGA
rnacentral:lncRNA from 1 species